AGCUCCAAUAGCGUAUAUUAAAGUUGUUGCAGUUAAAAAGCUCGUAGUUGAACUUCUGUAUGUCCCCUACGCAGGCUUCGGUCGCGUUGGGGAUAUGCAUCCGCUUGGGAACCUCGUUCGGUCUUCAUUGGUCGGCGGGAGGAUCAGGCAUUUUACUUUGAAAAAAUUAGAGUGUUCAAGGCAGGCAAUCGCCAUGAAUACACAAGCAUGGAAUAAUGGAAUAGGACUUUCAGUCAUUUUAUUGGUUAUUGACUGUGAGUAAUGAUUAACAGGGACAGUUGGGGGCAUUAGUAUUUAAUUGUCAGAGGUGAAAUUCUUGGAUUUAUUAAAGACUAACUUAUGCGAAAGCAUUUGCCAAGGAUGUUUUCAUUA
rnacentral:rRNA from 1 species